rnacentral:rRNA from 1 species
CAGUCGCCGCGGGAACACAGAGGGUGCGAGCGUUAAUCGGAUUUACUGGGCGUAAAGCGUGCGUAGGCGGCUUUUUAAGUCGGAUGUGAAAUCCCUGAGCUUAACUUAGGAAUUGCAUUCGAUACUGGGAAGCUAGAGUAUGGGAGAGGAUGGUAGAAUUCCAGGUGUAGCGGUGAAAUGCGUAGAGAUCUGGAGGAAUACCGAUGGCGAAGGCAGCCAUCUGGCCUAAUACUGACGCUGAGGUACGAAAGCAUGGGAAGCAAACAGGAUUAGAUACCCCAGUAGUCCCUGUCUCUUAUAC